rnacentral:rRNA from 1 species
UUUCGAAUCAUUCACAAUGGGCGAAAGCCUGAUGGUGCGACGCCGCGUGAGGGAUGAAGGCCUUCGGGUUGUAAACCUCUGUCACCGGGGAAGAAACGCUUCAAGUUAACAGCUUGAAGCCUGACUUAACCCGGAGAGGAAGCAGUGGCUAACUCUGUGCCAGCAGCCGCGGUAAUACAGAGACUGCAAGCGUUAUUCGGAUUCACUGGGCGUAAAGGGUGCGCAGGCGGUUGGGUGUGUCAGAUGUGAAAUCCCGAGGCUUAACCUCGGAACUGCGUCUGAAACUACUCGACUAGAGUACUGGAGAGGGUAACGGAAUUCACGGUGUAGCAGUGAAAUGCGUAGAUAUCGUGAGGAACACCAGAGGCGAAGGCGGUUACCUGGACAGUUACUGACGCUCAGGCACGAAAGCAUGGGGAGCAAAAGGGAUUAGAUACCCCAGUAGUCCCUGAGCGGGCUGGCAAGGCGCAU